GACAGAGGGUGCAAACGUUGUUCGGAAUUACUGGGCGUAAAGCGUGUGUAGGCGGCCAGGCAAGUCGGAUGUGAAAGCCCCGGGCUCAACCCGGGAAGUGCACUCGAUACUGCUUGGCUGGAGUGUGGGAGAGGUUGGUGGAAUUCUCGGUGUAGAGGUGAAAUUCGUAGAUAUCGAGAGGAACACCGGCGGCGAAGGCGGCGACCUGGGCCAAUAUUGACGCUGAGGUGCGAAAGCGUGGGGAGCAAACAGG
rnacentral:rRNA from 1 species